GAUGAACGCUGGCGGCGUGCUUAACACAUGCAAGUCGAACGGAAAGGCCCAAGCUUGCUUGGGUACUCGAGUGGCGAACGGGUGAGUAACACGUGGGUGAACUGCCCUGCACUUCGGGAUAAGCCUGGGAAACUGGGGCUAAUACUGGAUAGGACCACUUCUUGGACGGUGUGGUGGAAAGUUUUUUCGGUGUGGGAUGAGCUCGCGGCCUAUCAGCUUGUUGGUGGGGUAUUGGCCUACCAAGGCGUCGACGGGUAGCCGGCCUGAGAGGGUGUACGGCCGCAUUGGGACUGAGAUACAGGCCAGACUCCGAAGGGAGGCAGCAGUGGGGAAUGUUGCACAAUGGGCGGAAGCCUGAUGGAGCGACGCCGCGUGGGGGAUGACGGCCUUCGGGUUGUAAGCUCCUUUCGCUAGGGACGAAGCGUUUUUUUGACGGUACCUGGAGAAGAAGCACCGGCUAACUACGUG
rnacentral:rRNA from 1 species